UACGGAAGGGGCAAGCGUUGUUCGGAAUCAUUGGGCGUAAAGGGCGCGCAGGUGGCUCUGUAUGUCUGCCGUGAAAGCAUACAGCUCAACUGUAUUGUGUCGGUAGAAACUGCAGGACUUGAGGCUGGGAGGGGCUGGUGGAAUUCCCUGUGUAGCGGUGAAAUGCGUAGAGAUGGGGGAGAACACUCGUGGCGAAGACGGCCAGCUAGACCAGUUCUGACACUGAGGCGCGACAGCGUGGGGAGCAAACAGG
rnacentral:rRNA from 1 species